rnacentral:misc_RNA from 1 species
GAUGAAGAACGUAGCGAAAUGCGAUAAGUAAUGUGAAUUGCAGAAUUCAGUGAAUCAUCGAAUCUUUGAACGCACCUUGCGCCCUUUGGCUAUUCCGAAGGGCAUGCCUGUUUGAGUAUCAUGAACACCUCAACUCUCAUGGUUUGCCAUGAUGAGCUUGGACUUUGGGGGUCUUGCCGGCCUAUGGGUCGGCUCCUCUCAAAUUAAUCAGCUUGCCAGUGUUUGGUGGCAUCACAGGUGUGAUAACUAUCUACGCUUGUGGUUUUCCAUCAGGUAACCUUCAGUGAUGGAGGUUCGCUGGGGCUCAUAAAUGUCUCUCCUCAGUGAGGACAGCUCUUUGAAUGUUUGAUCUCAAAUCAGGUAGGACUACCCGCUGAACUUAAGCAUAUCAAUAAGCGGAGGA